GCCGUUGUGGCGAAAUUGGCAGACGCACAGCACUCAAAAUGCUGCGGGAAACCAUGUGGGUUCGAGUCCCACCAACGGCACCA
rnacentral:tRNA from 1 species